AUAUCAUUAAGCGGAGGAAAAGAAACUAACAAGGAUUCCCCUAGUAACUGCGAGUGAAGCGGGAAGAGCUCAAAUUUGAAAUCUGGCAGCUUUGCUGUCCGAGUUGUAAUCUGUAGAAGUGUUUUCUGCAUUGGACCGUGUACAGGUCUCUUGGAACAGAGCGUCAUAGAGGGUGAGAAUCCCGUUCAUGACAUGGACUACCAAUGCUUUGUGAUACACUCUCAAAGAGUCGAGUUGUUUGGGAAUGCAGCUCAAAAUGGGUGGUAAAUUCCAUCUAAAGCUAAAUACAAGCAAGAGACCGAUAGUGAACAAGUACCGUGAGGGAAAGAUGAAAAGCACUUUGGAAAGAGAGUUAAACAGUAU
rnacentral:rRNA from 1 species